rnacentral:rRNA from 1 species
GUUUGAUCCUGGCUCAGGAUGAACGCUAGCGGCAGGCCUAACACAUGCAAGUCGAGGGGCAGCAUUUCUAGUUUACUAGGAGAUGGCGACCGGCGCACGGGUGAGUAACGCGUAUAGAAUCUGCCCUUUACUGGGGAAUAGCCCGAAGAAAUUUGGAUCAAUGCCCCAUGGUCCCUUAUUGUGGAUUCACGAUUAGGGUAAAGGUUACGGUAAAGGAUGACUAUGCGUCCCAUUAGUUAGUUGGUAGGGUAACGGCCUACCAAGACCGCGAUGGGUAGGGGCCCUGAGAGGGGGAUCCCCCACACUGGUACUGAGACACGGACCAGACUCCUACGGGAGGCAGCAGUGAGGAAUAUUGGACAAUGGGCGAGAGCCUGAUCCAGCCAUGCCGCGUGCAGGAAGACGGUCCUAUGGAUUGUAAACUGCUUUUAUACGGGAAGAACCUAGGGCACGUGUGCUCUACUGACGGUACCGUAAGAAUAAGGAUCGGCUAACUCCGUGCCAGCAGCCGCGGUAAUACGGAGGAUCCGAGCGUUWUCCGGAAUCAUUGGGUUUAAAGGGUCCGUAGGCGGGCCAUUAAGUCAGGGGUGAAAGUCUGCGGCUCAACCGUAGAAUUGCCUUUUGAUACUGGUGGUCUUGAGUUAUGGUGAAGUAACUAGAAUAUGUGGUGUAGCGGCGAAAUGCAUAGAUAUCACAUAGAAUACCGAUUGCGAAGGCAGGUUACUAACCAUAUACUGACGCUGAUGGACGAAAGCGUGGGGAGCGAACGGGAUUAGAUACCCCGGUAGUCCACGCCGUAAACGAUGGAUACUAGCUGUCCGGCAGCAAUGCUGGGUGGCUAAGCGAAAGUGAUAAGUAUCCCACCUGGGGAGUACGUCCGCAAGGAUGAAACUCAAAGGAAUUGACGGGGGCCCGCACAAGCGGUGGAGCAUGUGGUUUAAUUCGAUGAUACGCGAGGAACCUUACCAGGGCUUAAAUGUAGUCUGACAGCUUUAGAGAUAGAGUUUUCUUCGGACAGAUUACAAGGUGCUGCAUGGUUGUCGUCAGCUCGUGCCGUGAGGUGUCAGGUUAAGUCCUAUAACGAGCGCAACCCCUGCCGUUAGUUGCCAGCAUGUUAUGAUGGGGACUCUAACGGGACUACCGGUGCAAACCGCGAGGAAGGUGGGGAUGACGUCAAAUCAUCACGGCCCUUACGUCCUGGGCCACACACGUGCUACAAUGGCCGGUACAGAGAGCAGCCAUGUCGCAAGGCAGAGCGAAUCUAUAAAGCCGGUCACAGUUCGGAUCGGGGUCUGCAACUCGACCCCGUGAAGCUGGAAUCGCUAGUAAUCGGAUAUCAGCCAUGAUCCGGUGAAUACGUUCCCGGGCCUUGUACACACCGCCCGUCAAGCCAUGGAAGCUGGGAGUGCCUGAAGUCCGUCACCGCGAGGAGCGGCCUAGGGCAAGAUCGGUAACUAGGGC